GAAGCUCCUACGGGAGGCAGCAGUGGGGAAUAUUGGCACAAUGGGGGAAACCCUGAUGCAGCGACGCCGCGUGGAGGAAGAAGGUCUUCGGAUUGUAAACUCCUGUUGUUGGGGAAGAUAAUGACGGUACCCAACAAGGAAGUGACGGCUAACUACGUGC
rnacentral:rRNA from 1 species